rnacentral:rRNA from 1 species
CCUACGGGAGGCAGCAGUGAGGAAUAUUGGUCAAUGGCCGGAAGGCUGAACCAGCCAAGUCGCGUGAGGGAAUAAGGCCCUCUGGGUCGUAAACCUCUUUUGUCAGGGAGCAAAGGCGUCCACGUGUGGACGAGAGGAGAGUACCUGAAGAAAAAGCAUCGGCUAACUCCGUGCAAGCAGCCGCGGUAGUACGGAGGAUGCGAGCGUUAUCCGGAUUGAUUGGGUUGAAAGGGUGCGUAGGGGGAGUGUAAGGUCAGCGGUAAAAUUUCGGGGCUAACCCGCGUCGUGCCGUUGAAACUGGCGACCUUGAGUGAGUGAGAGGUAAGCGGAAUGCGUGGUGUAGCGGUGAAAUGCGUAGAUAUCACGAGGAACGCCGAUUGCGAAGGCAGCUUACUGGCGCUCAACUGACGCUGAGGCGCGAAAGUGUGGGUAUCGAACAGGAUUAGAUACCCGUGUAGUC